CUUUGGGGAUUUUCUCAGUGAGUGUAGAGUGUAGACCUGGUGUAGACCCAACCUCCUCUCCCCUGCGGACGAAAGUUUGGCUUAGAUGUGUGUGUGGGAUUUUUCGAAAAUUUUGCUCAUUUCCAUCAUAAAAAACUGUGGAUGGGACAACGUUGGUACUAGACACAGCUGGAAUUUAAAAGAUAUAUAAAUCCUAUUUAAAGGAGACGAAGCAGCACCGCCCUUUGUCGUAUCCUACAGCCUUCAAGGAUACGGAGGAGUUAAAGGACUUCAGUGUGUGGAUUUGCAACUAUGCUAACAAUAGGUUUAGCAUUUCACAGAUAAAUGGAACAGCUACAAAAACGCUAAGGUGUCUACAUCUUUCUAAAGCCCUGUUGCCUAUACUGAGCAUUUGUUGCCGACGAUUACCCCAAAUGAGAACAACAUGCGACGUCAUAUACCUCAUAAGAACAACAUAACAUAAUGUGGGCAAAUGCGACGUCAUAUACCUCAUGAGAAAAACAUGACAUAUAUCUCUAUGCAUGGGCCAUCGGAAUGACACAGUAACUUCAGAUCUACUUAAAGGGCCAUCAGAAUGAGACAGUAACUUCAGAUCUACUUAAAGGCCCAUCAGAAUGACACAGUAUCUUCAGAUCUACGUUUGGAGUCAUCAGAAGUUGGAAAUGCCUACAGAACUCUCAUGCCACUCCAUUACUUCGCCUGACGUCGAAGUGGAAGGACCUUCAGAAGUACAAGAUCAUCAGCUCCCGGAAGAGAAGUGUACAAAAAGAUCCCAUCCAAGAAAGAUCAUCCCAUCCCAAAAGAAAGGAAAAGUUCCCUUCCAAGAAGAGUAGUGUAAAAGGAGUUCCAAGAAGUGUACAAGAAGCUCCUAUCCCAGCAGAGUAGUACAAGAAGCUCCUAUCCCAGCAGAGUAGUAGUACAAGAUCUUAUCCAAGAAGAGAGGUGUACAAAGAAGUUUCCCUCCAAGGAGAAGUGUACAAGCGGAAAGUGUGGAAAGUUCCCAUCGAAGAAGAAAACUUACGAUGACGCAUCAAGAAAGAGAGACCCCAUAACGAAGACACACCAAGAAACAAAACCAUAUCCGCCGGUAAUUCAGGGCAAAAAAAUAUUUUCGUUUGAAAAUUUCUGGACCAGUCAACUUUUAGAUGACUAUAUUUUGAUUAUAA